rnacentral:rRNA from 1 species
UACGUAGGGUGCGAGCGUUGUCCGGAAUUACUGGGCGUAAAGCGCACGUAGGCGGAUUGCUAAGUCAGGGGUGAAAUCCUGGAGCUCAACUCCAGAACUGCCUUUGAUACUGGCGAUCUUGAGUCCGGGAGAGGUGAGUGGAACUGCGAGUGUAGAGGUGAAAUUCGUAGAUAUUCGCAAGAACACCAGUGGCGAAGGCGGCUCACUGGCCCGGUACUGACGCUGAGGUGCGAAAGCGUGGGGAGCAAACAGG